rnacentral:rRNA from 1 species
UACGGGGGGAGCAAGCGUUGUUCGGAUUUACUGGGCGUAAAGGGCGCGUAGGCGGCCAGCACAAGUCAGUUGUGAAAUCUCCGAGCUUAACUCGGAAAGGUCAACUGAUACUGUGCGGCUAGAGUGCGGAAGGGGCAACUGGAAUUCUCGGUGUAGCGGUGAAAUGCGUAGAUAUCGAGAGGAACACCUGCGGCGAAGGCGGGUAGCUGGGCCGACACUGACGCUGAGGCGCGAAAGCCCAGGGGAGCGAACGGG